rnacentral:rRNA from 1 species
UAUUCAGUGGCAAGGUUAACCAUCUAGGGGAGCCGUAGGGAAACCGAGUCUUAACUGGGCGUUCAGUCUCUGGAUAUAGACCCGAAACCAGGUGAUCUAGCCAUGGGCAGGUUGAAGGUUGAGUAACAUCAACUGGAGGACCGAACCGACUAAUGUUGAAAAAUUAGCGGAUGACUUGUGGCUAGGGGUGAAAGGCCAAUCAAACCUGGAGAUAGCUGGUUCUCCCCGAAAGCUAUUUAGGUAGCGCCUCGGACGAAUACUACUGGGGGUAGAGCACUGUUAAGGCUAGGGGGUCAUCCCGACUUACCAACCCUUUGCAAACUCCGAAUACCAGUAAGUACUAUCCGGG